rnacentral:rRNA from 1 species
GACGAACGCUGGCGGCGUGCUUAACACAUGCAAGUCGAACGGAAAGGCCCUGCUUGCCGGGUGCUCGAGUGGCGAACGGGUGAGUAACACGUGGGUGAUCUGCCCCUUACUUUGGGAUAAGCCUAGGAAACUGGGUCUAAUACUGGAUAGGACCAUGCUGUAGGUGGUGUGGUGGAAAGAUUAGUUUCGGUAAGGGAUGAGCUCGCGGCCUAUCAGCUUGUUGGUGGGGUAAUGGCCUACCAAGGCGUCGACGGGUAGCCGGCCUGAGAGGGUGGACGGCCACAUUGGGACUGAGAUACGGCCCAGACUCCUACGGGAGGCAGCAGUGGGGAAGAUUGCACAAUGGGCGCAAGCCUGAUGCAGCGACGCCGCGUGGGGGAUGACGGCCUUCGGGUUGUAAACUCCUUUCAGCCAUGACGAAGCCCUUGUGGUGACGGUAGUGGUAGAAGAAGCACCGGCUAACUACGUG